GACGAACGCUGGCGGCGUGCUUAACACAUGCAAGUCGAACGAAGUGGCGAACGGGUGAGUAACGCGUAAUCAACCUGCCCUUCGGAGGGGAACAACAGUUGGAAACGACGGCUAAUACCGCAUACUGAAGGAGGGGCUUGCGUAUGAUUAGCUAGUUGGAGGGGUCACGGCCCACCAAGGCGAGGAGCAGUAGCCGGUCGGAGAUGAGUAACGGCCACAUUGGGACUGAGACACGGCCCAGACUCCUACGGGAGGCAGCAGUGGGGAAUCUUCCGCAAUGGACGAAAGUCUGAAGGAGCAACGCCGCGUGAGUGAUGACGGCCUUCGGGUUGGAAAGCUCUGUUAAUCGGGACGCGGUACCGGAAUAGAAAGCCACGGCUAACUACGUGCCAGCCGCCGCGGUAAUAC
rnacentral:rRNA from 1 species